rnacentral:rRNA from 1 species
GAUGAACGCUGGCGGCGUGCCUAAUACAUGCAAGUCGAACGAAGCCUUCGGGCUUAGUGGCGGAUGGGUGAGUAACAUGUUGGUACCUGCCUCGAAGUGGGGAAUCACUGGCCGAAAGGUCGGCUAAUACCGCAUGUGAUCGCAAGAUCAAAGUCGUAAGACGGUUCGAGAGGGGCCUGAGUCCCAUUAGCUAGUUGGUAGGGUAAUGGCCUACCAAGGCGACGAUGGGUAGCUGGAUCGAGAGGUUGACCAGCCACACUGGGACUGAGAUACGGCCCAGACUCCUACGGGAGGCAGCAGUAAGGAAUCUUCCACAAUGGACGAAAGUCUGAUGGAGCAACGCCGCGUGCAGGAUGACGGCCUUCGGGUUGUAAACUGCUUUUAUAUGGGAAGAUUAUGACGGUACCAUAUGAAUAAGGACCGGCUAACUACGUGCCAGCAGCCGCCGUAAUAC